UCGUGAGACAGCUGGAGAGAGGAGGACGGGUGGUGGUCAGAGGUGAUUGGAGGGAUCAUAUCACAGUGCCUCUACAGACCGAUCUUCGCAAAUUUCGUUCAUACAAAGGCGGAUCGGUCAGAGAUCUUUUACGUGCCAUGAGAAACAAGAAACACCAUUACCGAGAGUUACCCGAAGAAGUCCAGGAAACACUAGGAUCCAUUCCAGAUGAAUUUGUCUCCUACUUUACCUCCCGUUUCCCUCUUCUUCUGCAGCACACACAUUUGGCCAUGCGUUUCUGUGUCGUGGAGCGACCUUUCCUGCCUUACUACCAUGCUUCUGAACUGCUCACACACCACACAGUAGCACAGUGUGUGCCACAGACUCCCCCCACACAGCAUAGCAGUGCAUCAGUGCCCUCAGGCCUGUCGUCGUCCAGUCAGACAUCAGCAGCUCCACAUGAACUGUCAGACACACUGUCUGAAAUGGCAGUCUUACCCGAGCUCACCACAGAGCACAUACAGACAGUCCCAGUGCCGCCCACACUGUCCACACAGGAGACUGGAGCUCCUUAGUGCCCAGUGGAUGGACCCUUGACGGAUGGACCCUUUUCGGAGACAUUCCAGGGAUGAGCCAUAUCUCUGUGUGAAUGCAGUCUGGGCCUGCAGUGUCCAGGCUGUGUCACCGCAGAGGCUGCCAUCUCAUCUUUAGUGCCUUACAUGCUCAUUUUAGACAACAGCUCUUGUUUGAGCAACUUACAGAUUCCUGGAGAAGAUGAUUUGGAGGAUGCUGAAGAAGAUGGCUUGGGUUGUCAGUGGUGUGCUCACAAAACUGCAGUCAUUCCUUCCAUUUGUCAAGUAUAAUGUGAUUGGAAGGUGAGGGAUUUUUGUUGAACACUUGAAGUGAACACAAGAAAUUCUACUGUGCAAUGUUGAGUCGUGCUUGGUGAGAGAGAUCAUGCUAUUGAAUUUAUAUUUUUGUACAUAUUUUGAUCAUUGAUAAUUGGUUGAAGUGGCAAUUGUGCCUUUUUAAAUGACACUGUGCUGUGUGACUUAGUCCUGAGGAGAAGCUAAUGCUUGUGGUUUUUUUCGCCUUUUGUCUUUGCUGCUGAAAGCUGUUAAAGGACUAGUUCUACCAAAAAUGAAGAGAGGCAUCUUUUAGUCAUCCAUACAUGUACGACUUUCCGUGGAACAGCAAAAUGUUCACCGUUCUCUUCUGUACAGUGACCACCUGCUGUGAAGCCCCAAAACGACUGAAAAGCAUCAUAAAAGUAGUCAACUUGUGUGCUGAUUUUUCCAAAGAAAUGCAUCCAAAUAUAAGUUAUUAUUCACUGAUAAUCUCCGCCUGAACUGCAUUUCUUAAUUCUCGUUCAGAGUGUGAAGACGUCACACCAGAUUUGACAUCAGUGAAGCCAAAGAUCAUUGGUUCUCGCAUAUCAUAUGUGGAAGCACAAAUCACAUUUGUCGUCUCGUAUGGCUACAAAAGGCUAUACAGCACACAAGCCAUAUGGACUACUUCUGUGAUAAUACUGGUUUGAAACAAGAAGUAAAUAAUGACAGAAAUACAUUUUUGGGUGAACUGUUCCUUCAAAGUCUCUAACAUGGAACCAACUAUACAGUAUGACAUUACCGGUAUUAUGCUUUCAAAAGUUCUGGAUAUACUUUCAUGACAAACUUCCUGUAUUGUGCUCAUAAUUUCAGUCAUUCAGUCAUGCCCUUUUAUAUUUUGGCAUAUUUCAGCAAAACAUGGUAAAUUGUAUGAAUUCAUACCCUUGGAUUCUGGAUAGUGUGGUUUAGUUAUAGCUUUCAGGUGAUUUUUUAAAAUGGUUCUUAUAUAGGGAAAUAAUUAAACUAUUUUCUAGGUUUUAAUUGGAUCCCUGCUUCAAAAACUAUGGGCUGUUGUCAGGAAAUACCAGGAAAAAUGUCUCUACUGGGCCUGAUGCUGGUCAUAUGUUCAGUGCAUAUACAGCAUUGUAAUAUAAAAUGCAUGAAGUUUUGAACUGAAAUAUUCCAAAUGGAGCUUUUAUAAUGUUACAUGUUUUUAAUGUUCCUUAUAUAUUUUUAAAUGGCACAUUUUGAGGGAAAAAUUAUUCAAUGCAGUAAUGCCUUUUUACAUGUAGUGUUAAUAAAAGCUGCUAUUGUGCAAUGCCAAGCACGUUUUUACCAGCCUUUGGACCAGAUAUGAGUGCAAAUAGCCAACCUUCUUGGCAAAGCCUGUUUUCGCUAAUGUCAAGUCUAUGCUCCAAUUGUUCACCAUUGCUCAAAUAUUUUAUAUAUAACAUGUUACUUCUAUUUACUUUUUGUUAGAGUAGCAUCUAUCUCUACUUGCACUUAGUAUAAACAUUUUUAUUUAUACAUGUCAUCAUGAUGCAAACAGUAACUACUAACUACCACCAUUUAGAUGUACUUUUUUAACAGUUUAUGUGUAUAAUUUAGGAAAACCAGUAAGAAUACACCAUUGCAGCUCACUGUAAAGUAAAACAGAAUGUAAACAGGUAGAAUGAGGAUUAGCACAA